UUUAUUAAAUUUUAUAAAAUUGUAUAAACAAUCACAUAACAAUUGCUUAGGCUCGAAAACACAUUUUAAGAACAAAAUUGGCACAAAAUCAGGUGACCCAGAUCCAGACAACGUCGACAAAUAUUUUUUUUUUAACAAGACAUUAUCUAGUUCUUAAAGGUAACAAGAAAACAUUAAUUGUUAACGAUGUCUGUCUAGGUAAAACAUAGGUAACAAGCUUUAAGGAGGUUUCCAGCUUUCUGUAAAUUAUGUGACGAUGUAAAAGUUACCCCUUUAAUAAAUUAUCCUACUUCUUUUAUGGUCGCGUAUAUAAAGCAAUCUAUAAGUAGAUGAAAUUAUGAAACUUAGGGGCUGUUCAUAAAUUACGUCAUCUAUUUUUGACGAUUUUUGACCCCCCCCCCCCCCCUAAAAUCAUCAAAAAAUCAUGCUUCGAAUGACCCCGUUUCCUCCUACGUUAUGCUACCAUCAUCCGAUGUCCAGACCCCCCUUCCCCAAUUUGAAAUGACGUAAUUUAAGUGGCUAAUAACAUUAGGAACAACUGUAACAAGUUAACUGCAUAUUAUAGGCAGUAAGCUCUUUUGAAGGAUUAUUGUUUUCCUCGUUCACUUGUCUCAUUAUUAUAUUUAUAUUUAUUAAUACAUACGCAUUGACCAUUUUAUUGUCAAAAUAUUUAUCUAACGUAAAAUUAAUGGAAGAAUAAGUAUGUAUAGUCUGUCAAACAGCUUUGUCAGUAGAAAAAGGCACGAAAUUCAAAUUUUCUAUGGGACGAUAACCCUUCCGCGCCUACAUUUUUUUAAAUUUGCUGCUUUUUUCUACUGACGGUAAUGGGUUGACAGACUGUAGUUACAAUAUAAUUAAAUACUUCUAAAUAAUAACAAUGACUUUUGAUAUAAAUUAAUUGCCAACAUAAUAAUCUAAACUUCCUAGAGAUGAAAAUCAGCAAUAAAAAAAAACUACUACAGGAUUAGCGCAGCAGCCCGUCAAGUCGCGCGAGGCACCUUCAUUUGUUUCUUUCGCAAAUUAUGAACGAGAAAUGAUACUCUGGCACACCGACUUUAUACGUAGAAAAAAGGAGGUUAAUUUUAAAAAUGCUUCCCAUAGAACAUUUGUAUUUCGCGCCUUGUGUGUGCCAGAGUAGGUAUAGUUUUGUACUGGCGCGCGGCUCGAGUUGCGCGGUCAGUGCUAAACCCUCUCUACGUGAUUUCUUUAACAAUUUUUGGUAAUGUUAGCAUUGUAUUAAAUAAGAUCAGCGGUGGUAGCGUGGAACCACGUUUUUUAUAGCAUGUCGCGUCAUGCGUCUCUUUCGCACUUACGACUGUUAGAACGUGACAGGCAUGGUGACAGGCGACAAAAAAGCGACCAUGCUAACGCCGCAGGUCGGAUAAGUACCGAUUAUAUUGCUUAAA